rnacentral:rRNA from 1 species
UACGUAGGGGGCAAGCGUUGUCCGGAUUUAUUGGGCGUAAAGAGCGUGUAGGCGGCCAGGUAGGUCCGUUGUGAAAACUGGAGGCUUAACCUCCAGCUGUCGAUGGAAACCAUCUGGCUAGAGUCCGGAAGAGGAGAGUGGAAUUCCUGGUGUAGCGGUGAAAUGCGCAGAUAUCAGGAAGAACACCCGUGCGAAGCGCUCUCUGGGAGCGGUACUGACGCUGAGACGCGAAAGCGUGGGAGCGAACAGG